UAUUCAUUUAGUAUAAAAAGUAUUUAAAGCUUCCAACUUUAAGGUCUUAAAAAGAAUGAAUAA
rnacentral:tRNA from 2 species